UAGGGAAUCUUCAGCAAUGGACGAAAGUCUGACCGAGCAACGCCGCGUGAGUGAAGAAGGUUUUCGGAUCGUAAAACUCUGUUGGUAGAGAAGAACGUUGGUGAGAGUGGAAAGCUCAUCAAGUGACGGUAACUACCCAGAAAGGGACGGCUAACUACGUGCCUAG
rnacentral:rRNA from 1 species